GCUUCUGCCUCUGCCUCUACCUGUCCUCUCCCCUACUGCCAAACCCUCCUGUUGAGCCUGAUCUUUGGUACAUGUAUAUAUAAACACCGGGUCAAGUGACCCAAACCCAAAACUCCCUUGACCAACUCUAUGGAAGAUUAGGUUAACCCAAGCCCAUGUACACCCAUGACUCGACCUAAUCUCACCUAUCCUGGGCCUAGACCUGACCCAUAAAGAGUUGGUCCCUUGAGGCCCACAUAACCUAGACCUCAAAAACCCGAAAGGCCCACAGCCUUUCAACCUAGGGCCCAACUAGCCCUAGAGCCUCCAUGAAGCCCUCAUGAAUGAUGGACCUUGGCCUUAGCCUUGGUCCCCUGGGCCUUGGGCACACCACC
rnacentral:lncRNA from 1 species